UCUCUCGCUCUUCCCCGAAACAUGUCCCUCUACUCCCUCCCCUCCCGCUCGCACUCUCUCUCUCUCCCUUUCUCCCCCUUCCCUCCAAUAGAACCAAAACCACACAACCCUAGAAGAUGGUGGCCGGCUCAUCUCGGAGGUGUAGCCUGGCAUUGACUCGUCGGAGGAAGGCGAAGAAGAUGGUGAUUACGGUGAGUCCACCCCGGUGGUCAGAGAUCGGUGACGGAGGAGAGGGAUUCCUCCAGAUCCACUUUCUCUCUCCUUUCCCUCUCUCUCGUCUGUGCUUCUCUCUUCUCUCUCGUCUGUACUUUGGUCUCAAGUAAACAUUGAGGCAAAGAAAUCCAAGGAGGAUCUGAAGGAAGCCUGCUGGUCUCUCUUGUUUCAUGAUUUUGUGGCAAACUGCUUGACAAAAGAACAUCGGGUUGAAGAGUGACGGGUCAGAGUUUUUGGAAAACGGUGAAGCGGAUGGAUCAGAUGAUGAAUUCAACAAUGGGAAUGAAAGAAGUUGUUCGUGUGUGGUUAUGUAGAUUGGCUUGUACCUGAUGAUGAUUUAGGGUUGGACUUCUCUUUAGAUGCAACAAUGCAUCAGGUAACAUACCGCUAACAGUGCUUUUCCGGUUGACUACUUAUUUCUGGAAGGAGAAAAGCGUUUUUUGAGUUGAUGCGGAAUACCACCAUAGCAAGGAGUAUUUUUCCGGCUAUGCUCAUCACACUGAAUAGUUCUGUCUAUAUCGGGUUUGCUGUGGGUUUCAAUUUUGUCACUCCAGUGAAGCGGAUGGAUCAGAUGAUGAAUUCAACAAUGGGAAUGAAAGAAGUUGUUCGUGUGUGGUUAUGUAGAUUGGCUUGUUCCUGAUGAUGAUUUAGGGUUGGACUUCUCUUUAGAUGCAACAAUGCAUCAGAGUUUUUGGAAAACGGGUGGGGUCCGGAGCUCAGCUUUCCCAUCACAUUUCAGUUAAUUAUACAAGUGCUCCAAGGAUAAACAUAUGCAAUUGUUGAGACAUUCAAGGAGACUGAUUGCAGCUGGAGCAGGAAUUGCCUUAAUUGAUUCAGUGGUAGAAGAGUCAAAGAACAGCAGGGAUCCACCUACUGGUUUUGCUUUAAUAAGACCUCCAGGACACUAUGCAAUUUCAAAGGGUCUGAUGGGGUUUUGUGUGUUUGGAAAUAUUGCAAUUGCAGCUCAUUAUGCUCAACGUGCACAUGGCUUGAAGGGUGUCUUUAUAAUUGAUUUUGAUGUUCACCACGGGAAUGGGACAAAUGAUGCUUUCUAUGAGGAUCCGGAUAUAUUCUUCCUUUCAAAUCACCAAAAAGUAGUGCAAAGAUGGCCUUGCUUAUGGAAUGGUACACAAUGACCGUUUUACUUAUUUGCAAGCCUUUUGUUUUGUAUAUGGAGAAGUUUAGGCCAUAUGUCCCCUUCUCCCUACUCUUUGUACACUUUUUAUCAAAAAUAGUAUUAAUGAGAAUUUUCUUUUGGUUA